ACGUACACUCCUGCGGGAGGCAGCAGUGGGGAAUAUUGCACAAUGGGCGCAAGCCUGAUGCAGCCAUGCCGCGUGUGUGAAGAAGGCCUUCGGGUUGUAAAGCACUUUCAGCGGGGAGGAAGGCGAUACGGUUAACAACCGUGUUGAUUGACGUUACCCGCAGAAGAAGCACCGGCUAACUCCGUGCCAGCAGCCGCGGUAAUACGGAGGGUGCAAGCGUUAAUCGGAAUUACUGAGCGUAAAGCGCACGCAGGCGGUCUGUCAAGUCGGAUGUGAAAUCCCCGGGCUCAACCUGGGAACUGCAUUCGAAACUGGCAGGCUUGAGUCUUGUAGAGGGGGGUAGAAUUCCAGGUGUAGCGGUGAAAUGCGUAGAGAUCUGGAGGAAUACCGGUGGCGAAGGCGGCCCCCUGGACAAAGACUGACGCUCAGGUGCGAAAGCGUGGGGAGCAAACAGGAGUAGAAACCCUGGUAGUCCCAUG
rnacentral:rRNA from 1 species